AGAAUAGGACGGUGUCCAGAAAGGUGUGGGAACUUGUGAGCGUUAAUAUUCUUCGUUGUUUCAUUAGUUUGAGAAGCUUGUACAGUUUUGAAGUAAAUGAAUUUAAUUCCGCUACUUAACGGUUUUCCUGAUAGGGGUGCGACGGGCAGUUCGUCACCACCAAAUGUGUAUGCAUUCUGAAUAUUAAAUUGAUCUGCUUUGCAAAAUUAUCUUUUCGCCUACCCCAUCUUGCUCUCCAUGAGCAAGCUUGGCAGCAAAAGGCUGCCACCCGUAGCGGCGCUCAGGGAGCUGGGGGUUAAGGGCUUUGCCCAAAAGGGCACAGAUCUGCUUGAGCAUAGGCUUGAGCUGGCGACCUUCCGAUCACAGACAGAGAGACGUAGCUCACUGAGCCACAGGCUUGUUUUGCGGGUAUUUAUUACGUUAGAUAAAGUUUGUUAGUGAAAGUAACGUAAGAACCCACGUUUGACAGGGGAAAGUUAAUAAAUAAGUCAUUUAUAUAAAUUACGAAUUAAAUUACAUAUAUAUGUAGGCAAGGAAUAUAUGUUCCAUACUGCGAUGUUGGAUUUGUCUUUGUGCGGUUAGGCUUUGUAGAGCAUGUGGGUCAUUCAGGCCUAUAUGUGGCUGGUAGGCAGAUUAUAGCCCACAGAGUACCAAACAAGGUCAAAGGUGACUUUGGAAGGUUCUUGUUACACCAGUUACAUGUAGAUAAAAAUUAGUAUCUUGUAUUUCACUUCUUAGGGGGUGCUGGUACAGAAGCAUGCCUAUGGGCUUCAAGGGCCACUAAAGUUAAUGUCAUAAUGUUAUAAUUACAGAACUGUAGCAUAUUUAAACACAAAUGUUGCAUGUUGCUGCACAUAUUAUGUUGUGCUUUAUUCAAGCUUUGUGAGUAAAUUUAUAUCGGUAAAUCUCAUAUCUUUCAUAAUCUUUGCGGGCAACUUACUCUACAAAGAGCAAGUUGAGGGAGGCAUAAAAACAAUUUCCCCACGGGGAUCAAUAAAGUAUCAAUUAUUAUUAAUUCACGUAAAUGACAUAGGCAAAACAUAAGGAGACAUUGAAUUGUUUCAGCAUCUUUGUUCUCCCCCUUCACCAUAUCACCUUCAAGAUUUUUCAGAGGUGAUGCCGGAGCUGGGGACAGCAUUUGUACACAAUGUAUGGUACACCACUGGGGCCCAGAGCAGAAGCAGAGCGUGCCUUAAUUAUCUCCUCAACCUCCUUCAGGCUCGGCUUCCUCAGAUCGAACAUUGUUGUUGGUGGAGCUGGGUUGAUGAGGGCUCUGUUGGGUUCAAGCUCCUGUUCUCUCAUUGGAUUAUGGAAUAUUAUUUAGCAUUUCAUAACGCAUAGAGAAUGUAAUGAUUAGGACUCUAUAAGAAGCUGAUGUAAACUGUUCAGGAAGUGACUUUGUAACCUUCAGAGAAUGCAGACCAAUUACUGCUGUGCACAAUGUGACGAAAAACAAGUAUGAAUGAGCACCUUGUGUUGGCCUAGAAGUUUCUGUAUCUGUUAGCCAUUUGGUUAGCCUUUAGUGUAUGAAUAUGUACUUUAUUAGUGUUGCAGCUUAUCACUAUGUAGAAGGACAACCACCUGGCCAGACAAUCUGCAACAAGCAGAAGCUGCCAAGGUUUGCUACUGAAGGAAGGGAUUCGCCUCAGUUCACCAAAAGUACAUGGCUGGGCAUUUAAAAAAAACUGAGUAGAGAUGGUCACAUCACCGUUAUGUUCAGCCGAGGCACCAAACAGUAAAAGAGAUGAUUGACAAACAUCAUAUAGGGGUGUGGAUUAAGGGAGAAAACAACGAUGGUGAAUGGUUGAGGGAAUGAUGAUGCUUAAGUGGCGAGAUAUUGUUACGCAAUGAUAAAAUGUAUAAAAAUUGGUGUAAAACAGUAUUGGUCACACUUUAAGUGUCCGGCCUUGGUUGUAACUUCAUUAUUGCAAUAAAGACUGAAUUUGGAUCUACACCAGCGGCUUCUGACUUCUGAUUUGGAGGAGAAGGAAAAAACCACAACAUAAAUUGGCAUCACGAACAGGAUCGGAGAAGAGACCUGGGGAGGCGACCACCUGGCGGAGAACCGGGGAACACCCGUUUGCAUUAAAGUGGCGUGCCCUAAAAUAGGGGUCAGCAGUUCAUCCACAUGAGGAUACUGCAGGGAUGUGAACACGUGCUUAGGUCAAAUUUGGAUGGAUUGACAAAGCACAGCGCCACAGUAUGUGAGUGAUCUGCUCUGUGUUAUAUGCACAGGCACUGAAGCUGCCGUUGCUGAAGGUCUUAGCGAAAGGGGGGCUUGAGGUGCCCCAAGCUAAGCUGCAAUACUGAUAAGAACAGGCUGAAAUACUGAUAAGAACAGGCUGGGGUGUGAAUUCAGCCACGGGAGGGGCCCUUAUGAGGCCUCUGUGUAGAAACAAAGGGGGCCACUAAGGACACUGAUGGUCUGUUUCACAACCGUGAUGGAUUUUUGGUUGUGUCUUUGUCGGUGUCUGACACCUUGAUAAUUAAUGUGCAUGGUCUUGACCAUUGCGCAAGGGGGGAGUGCUACAAAAAAAAAAAGAAGAAGUUUAUGAGUUGAAGUUGUACAUGGGGUGUCUAACUCAAAUAUGCAAAGUUAUUUUCAAGCAGGAAAAGGGGAAAGCAAGACGGCAAGAGAAGACGGACGAGGACAAACCAGUCAUCUCCCCAGGAGACAGACUAUACCUCAAAGUGUAAAAUCAUAGGUGUUACAGGAUGAGAUGGCAAUAAAUGCAGGACAACAUGACAGGUUGUUUGACUGGUGGUAUAAUAUGUGAGGCAGUUGGCAGCAAGUCCUUACGAAAGCGCUAUGUGUGGGUGCUGUGCUUGUUUUUGCUCUGCUACUAAUCUUUUGUUGUGUAGUUCCUCUUGUUCACUCCCUAGUGGGGAGAGCACUGUCCCGGCAGGCGGCUAUAGCUGCAAUGUCUAGUGUGGUGGGAGGACCGUUUGGAGUGGCAUCCUCCUGGACCAACGCGGAAACAGAUGGCGACACAGACACCUUGGAUGCGGUCCUGCCCAUAGCUGCAGUUCAGCCGUACUGCCCGGGAAUACUUCAAGCAGGAGACCUGCAGCAUGCCUGCCUCCCACGACAUCUGGGAUUGUUCUGCUUACGGAGAGGUGUCUGUUGUACUAGUCUGUAAUGUUAUUAGUUAACCUUUUAGUUAUCUUUGUAUUACAUAUAUCUGUUUUUGUAUUGGGUUUGUAAUAGAUUUUGUAGUCCUGCUGUAUAUGCAAUAUAUCCAGGGGAGAUCAUUGUAUGGCGAUCCUCCCCUCCCUUUCCUGCUGUACCCCCUGUGCUGCUGUUGGUUGAUUCUCAGUGUUAGUAGUUUGUGAGCCAUGCCAGCCCUGGACCCUGAAGGGGGACUGCGCCAUUUGCCGGGUUGGGAGUGGAAUUUCCCUGAUGCUCAGGGUUUUUGCCCUCCUUCCUAGGUUGGAUGGGCAGUAUUGUCUGUGGGACUCUUUGGAGUGCCAAUGGGGGGAAAUAUAUGGAAUAUUAUUGUGACAAUCUGAAACAAGCAGAAGCUGCCAAGGUUUGCUACUGAAGGAAGGGAUUCGCCUCAGUUCAC